AAAAAAUAGAAUAAUCGCAGGAUAAACUAGGAGGCUAGUUUCCACCUCCAUAAAUACAUAAAGCUACACAGAUAAUAUGGAAUUUCUAGUUAAAGCCUUUCUCACUGGAUAGGUAUGUAUGUUGUAAUUAAAACACUGAUUUAUGCAGCUACAUGAGGAUUCAGAAGUCCAAACUUCCACACUGUUUGCUUUGUAAACUUUGUGUUCCAUUAGCUUGUUUCGUAUUUGCAUUAUGUUCGCUAUUAAUCCCCCGACUCCGCCCAAUGCCUAAUUUGGGUAAACCACGAUUGAGGCCCUCAAGCAAGACACAUGCUUUGCACCAUUUCUGGCUGGAUAUGUAACCACAUCUUUCACAAGUGCCUUGUUCUGGCAUUUUUGUAGAGGUGGAGAUCCGAAAGUCUUCACCUGAUUUGAUAAUGUCAAGAAUGGCUCUUGGUCUCAUCCUUUCUAAAUGUUUAAUGAACUCACGAGCAAAGCCACGAUACGCAUUGGGGGAAUAAAUACAUUCUGUAGAGAAGUAGUCCAGCUUUUUAAAGUAUGCAUACAUGACAAUUUCCUUCUCAUAAGUGUAUUUGAAGGGCUUGCAUCUCGGUAUUGGCCCAUCUUCUCCAGUAAUUAUCGACGUGCAUCUACCCAAUCUUGCAAUAUCACCUCGUAAAAUAUUUAAAAGGACUGUUUCAGCAAUAUCAUCUGCAUUAUGUCCGGUAACGAGCUUGUCUACCUUUAGCAGUGCAGCACCUCGAUCAAGGGCCUGCCGACGGAAAACACCACAAAAUGUGCAGUUGUUCUUCAAGCCUAUCAAUUUCACUAUUUCAUCCAUCGUCCACCCAUACAAUUCACUGUAGGAAACUACUUUUAAAGGAAGUCCAUACUGUAUUUCAUUUCUUUUGACUGUUUCAAGGGAAUCAUCCCUGUAACCAGUUAUGCCUUCAUCCACUGAUAGUAAGAAGAGAUCCAAUCCAUAGUUGUGUCUACGGUUCAACUCUGACAUUACAUAUGCAAGCACCGUUGAAUCUUUUCCACCAGAAGCUCCAAUAGCUAUGCGUUCCCCAGGCUUGAAAAGCUGAUUAUCCACAAUAACCCUAUGAAUCUCAUCUUCAAACACUGUGUAAAAGCACUCCCUGCAUAUUUGUUCAAGGGUUUUAGGGCGUUUCAAGGCGGCGCGUUUUUCAUUACAGAGAGUACACAAGCGGCUCUUUGGCUUCGCCGUCUUCUCCAUCUUACACGCAAAAACUACAAAUCUGAUCUCUGGCCGUCGCCGGUGAAGAAUGAUACUAUUCAGUUUUGCUCGCUAUAUCAGUCGCCUCUUUAUGCA
rnacentral:misc_RNA from 1 species